UAAGAGCUUUCAUGUUUUGG
rnacentral:miRNA from 1 species